rnacentral:rRNA from 1 species
CCUACGGGGGGCAGCAGUGAGGAAUAUUGGUCAAUGGGCGGGAGCCUGAACCAGCCAAGUCGCGUGAGGGACGACGGUCCUAUGGAUUGUAAACCUCUUUUGUCGGGGAACAAAGGCGCCCGCGGGUGGGCGGAUGAGUGUACCCGAAGAAAAAGCAUCGGCUAACUCCGUGCCAGCAGCUGCGGUAAUACGGAGGAUGCGAGCGUUAUCCGGAUUUAUUGGGUUUAAAGGGUGCGUAGGCGGAAGGUUAAGUCAGCGGUCAAAUGUCGGUGCUCAACACCGGCCUGCCGUUGAAACUGGUCUUG